CCCGUCCCAGCCCCUGCCCGUCGGGUUCUAAGGAGAGCGGGAGGGACCGAGGAGGGGAUUAAGGCAGAGGAGAAGCAGCGAGCCCCGGCGGCCGGCGGCGACGACAUGUCGGGGGAGGACGUCCGCAAGGUCUCUCGCCAGGACAUACAGCUCGUCGGUCUAGAAUCUCAUCGAGCGCUAUCUCCAGCUGUAUAUGAACCAGAAAGAGCUGAUUGAUACCCUCUCCCUUGAGGCCAAGAUAGAACCCAGCUUUACUGAACUUGUUGGGCGUGCUAUGAUGGGAAGCCUUGGAAACAAUCUGUACGGGGGCGCUACCUCGUCUAUCGAAACGGUGGCAAGACCAUCUCGUUCUGAUGCUGUCUGCCAGGGUUACAAGCUAGAUUCCUAUGACUUGCUGAUCCAUUCUUUGGGGUUCUCUUCAUGAUGCAUUCUCUAAGCAUUUUUCUUUGCUCUGUUUUCUGUAAACUGGAAGAGGGCCAUAAUGAGCCCCCCAAUCGAAGAAGUUAUCCAAUCAGGCGUUGUUCCUCGAUUUGUGCAGUUUCUUACUAGGGAGGAUUUCCCCCAACUCCAGGGUCCUCAUUCAAGAGAUGAAGCAUUGUCUACCAUGAGCUCUGAAGGAAGUGGUGUGAAGGCUGAAGGUGGACCAACAGAGCAUGCAUCGGUUCCCAAAGCAUAAUAGGUUUGCAUCAUGGAUGCCGUCGACGGUGGGCAUACAUGUUGUGGUGGAAGCUCAUUGCAUAUUGUAGGUUGAACUCAUGCUUUUGUUUGUUAACUCUUGUUGCAUAUGUACACAUGUUGUGAACCCUCCUUGAAUAUGUAUGUGUGUUUUUGUGAAACUAUGUUGGAUAUGUAUGCGUGUGUGGACUUUGAACUCAUCAUCGGUUUGUUAUUGUUGUGAACUUGUAAUAUAUUGGAUAUGUAUGCAUGACCAUUUCAUUUGUGAA